GUCUGACGGAGCAACGCCGCGUGAACGAUGAAGGCCUUCGGGUCGUAAAGUUCUGUUGUUAGGGAAGAACAAGUACCAGAGUAACUGCUGGUACCUUGACGGUACCUAACCAGAAAGCCACGGCUAACUACGUGCCAGCAGCCGCGGUAAUACGUAGGUGGCAAGCGUUGUCCGGAAUUAUUGGGCGUAAAGCGCGCGCAGGUGGUUUCUUAAGUCUGAUGUGAAAGCCCACGGCUCAACCGUGGAGGGUCAUUGGAAACUGGGGAACUUGAGUGCAGAAGAGGAAAGUGGAAUUCCAAGUGUAGCGGUGAAAUGCGUAGAGAUUUGGAGGAACACCAGUGGCGAAGGCGACUUUCUGGUCUGUAACUGACACUGAGGCGCGAAAGCGUGGGGAGCGAACAGGAUUAGAUACCCUGGUAGUCCACGCCGUAAACGAUGAGUGCUAAGUGUUAGAGGGUUUCCGCCCUUUAGUGCUGCAGCAAACGCAUUAAGCACUCCGCCUGGGGAGUACGGUCGCAAGACUGAAACUCAAAGGAAUUGACGGGGGCCCGCACAAGCGGUGGAGCAUGUGGUUUAAUUCGAAGCAACGCGAAGAACCUUACCAGGUCUUGACAUCCCACUGCCCGGUAUAGAGAUAUACCUUUCCCUUCGGGGACAGUGGUGACAGGUGGUGCAUGGUUGUCGUCAGCUCGUGUCGUGAGAUGUUGGGUUAAGUCCCGCAACGAGCGCAACCCUUGAUCUUAGUUGCCAGCAUUCAGUUGGGCACUCUAAGAUGACUGCCGGUGACAAACCGGAGGAAGGUGGGGAUGACGUCAAAUCAUCAUGCCCCUUAUGACCUGGGCU
rnacentral:rRNA from 2 species